UCCCUGGUGGCUCAGACAGUAAAGUAUCUGCCUGCAAUGCAGAAGACCUGGGUUCAAUUUCCAGGUUGAGAA
rnacentral:tRNA from 1 species